UACGGAGGGGGUUAGCGUUGUUCGGAAUUACUGGGCGUAAAGCGCACGUAGGCGGAUUGACAAGUUGGGGGUGAAAGCCCGGGGCUCAACCCCGGAACUGCCUUUGAAACUAGAUUGCUAGAAUCCUGGAGAGGUGAGUGGAAUUCCGAGUGUAGAGGUGAAAUUCGUAGAUAUUCGGAAGAACACCAGUGGCGAAGGCGACUCACUGGACAGGUAUUGACGCUGAGGUGCGAAAGCGUGGGGAGCAAACAGG
rnacentral:rRNA from 1 species